rnacentral:rRNA from 1 species
GACGAACGCUGGCGGCGUGCUUAACACAUGCAAGUCGAACGGAAAGGCCCUGCUUUUGUGGGGUGCUCGAGUGGCGAACGGGUGAGUAACACGUGAGUAACCUGCCCUUGACUUUGGGAUAACUUCAGGAAACUGGGGCUAAUACCGGAUAGGAGCUCCUGCUGCAUGGUGGGGGUUGGAAAGUUUCGGCGGUUGGGGAUGGACUGGCGGCUUAUCAGCUUGUUGGUGGGGUAGUGGCUUACCAAGGCUUUGACGGGUAGCCGGCCUGAGAGGGUGACCGGGCACAUUGGGACUGAGAUACGGCGCAGACGCGUACGGGAGGCAGCAGUGGGGAAUAUUGCACAAUGGGCGGAAGCCUGAGGCAGCAACGCCGCGGUCGGGAUGACGUCCUUCGGGUUGUAAACCGCUUUCGCCUGUUACGAAGCGUGAGUGACGGUAAUGGGUAAAGAAGCACCGGCUAACUACGUG